CAAAACAUAAGUGUGAGAAGCGAACCCUAAAUUUUACGAUUAUGUCUCCGAAUAUGAGAUCCAUCUUUGCUCAGGUACGUCAAAAAUCAGUACCGAUGGGGAGUACCCGCAGUUUCUGUUCAUCCUCAACCCACAGUGAAGAGUCGAAGAAAAUAGCUAUAGUUACUUUUGUUGUAACUCGAACCCUAGGAUUUGCUUCCGGAUAUCUCAUUGGUACGUGUAGAGAGGGAGAGUGGCAGAGAUUUUUAUUGUCUUAAUCAGCUUUUAAUACUUUUUCUUUGGUGUGUGAUUGUAUCAAGGCCAUUAUCUAAUUGGUGAUCUUGAUAAGUUAUAUGAGGAGCGGAUGCAAGAGGUACAAAAUGAAAUCAAAGAAGCACUUGAUGUGACCAUAAUUGCUAUAAUAUCU